rnacentral:lncRNA from 10 species
AUUUACUUCUGUCUGUAUCAGGAAACAGAGGCCUGGGUCUAGAGACAGGGUCUUGGUGAGGGAAGGACUCAAAACCAUGGGAUACAGCAUGACCGGGCAGCACCACAGCUGUGGAAGGAGUUUCCCUGCACAAGUUCUCUUCUGUUGUCUGCCUCCAUGUGAGACAUGCCUUUCACCUUCUGCCAUGAUUGUGAGGCUUCCCCAGCCACAUGGAACUGACCAGGACCAGGGUGAGGCAAACAAGGUCCCUACGGGCACAGAAUUUAAGAAGGCACUCACUCUUGAUGAAACUGGAGGACCAAAAUUUUAAACUAUGGGAUCAGAAAUUCAAAGACUAUGAAUAAAAAUUUCAAAAGAAAGAAAUAGUAAUACCACCAAUAAGAAGAAUAAUUAAAAAGGUACAAAGAAAUUGGAUGCAACAUUGUAAAAAGAGCCAUAGUUUGGAGCUGAGCUGACAUGAGCUAAAAUCCUAGUCCACUGCUUUUAAGGCCCUGCACUGAAAAUGCAAGCUCAGGCGCCGGUGGUCGUUGUGACCCAACCUGGAGUCGGUCCCGGUCCGGCCCCCCAGAACUCCAACUGGCAGACAGGCAUGUGUGACUGUUUCAGCGACUGCGGAGUCUGUCUCUGUGGCACAUUUUGUUUCCCGUGCCUUGGGUGUCAAGUUGCAGCUGAUAUGAAUGAAUGCUGUCUGUGUGGAACAAGCGUCGCAAUGAGGACUCUCUACAGGACCCGAUAUGGCAUCCCUGGAUCUAUUUGUGAUGACUAUAUGGCAACUCUUUGCUGUCCUCAUUGUACUCUUUGCCAAAUCAAGAGAGAUAUCAACAGAAGGAGAGCCAUGCGUACUUUCUAAAAACUGAUGGUGAAAAGCUCUUACCGAAGCAACAAAAUUCAGCAGACACCUCUUCAGCUUGAGUUCUUCACCAUCUUUUGCAACUGAAAUAUGAUGGAUAUGCUUAAGUACAACUGAUGGCAUGAAAAAAAUCAAAUUUUUGAUUUAUUAUAAAUGAAUGUUGUCCCUGAACUUA